CGGAGGAAAAGAAACCAACAGGGAUUGCCUCAGUAACGGCGAGUGAAGCGGCAAAAGCUCAAAUUUGAAACCUUCGGGAUUGUAAUUUGAAGGCCGGCCCUAGUGUGGCCCUAUACUUGUAAGUCCAUUGGAAUAUGGCGCCAGGGAGGGUGACAGCCCCGUCCACCAAGUUCUUUUAGGGCCACAAAUCGGACCGCGCCAAAGAGUCGAGUUGUUUGGGAAUGCAGCUCUAAGUGGGUGGUAAAUUCCAUCUAAAGCUAAAUACAGGCGAGAGACCGAUAGCGAACAAGUACAGUGAUGGAAAGAUGAAAAGCACUUUGAAAAGAGAGUGAAACAGUACGUGAAAUUGUUGAAAGGGAAGGGCUUGCACCCAUUUACUGCCAGCAUCAAUUGGAAAAGAGUGAAAACAGGGCCGGGAAU
rnacentral:rRNA from 2 species